ACACAGUGAACAGCUGUGUGGUGCUUAGCUGCGUGAUGGGUUAAAUCACAACAUCUCCAAAGAUGGAGGUUUCAUGGCCUUUCUGAGUGCUGCACCAUCCUCAUGGUACUUGCACAUAGCUUCCAGAAGGAUUUUUUUUACAUUAUCUUCCUGAGGACUGAGAUAUGGCUGACCACUUCUAGUUUUCUGGAUCUUUUUUCCUGAUUUUCUUGAAGUUGCAGUUAAGGUUUUCUUGGUAUAUUUUAAGUAUACCAAGUAUGAUUCCUAACACAGAGAAUGCUGAGAAUGCUGCAGUGACAAAUACAGUAAGAAAGGCUUAUUUCUGGAGCCUAAUCUCACUGUGGCUGCUGAUGGCACCCAGAACACCCACUAAACCUUCUCCAGGACUGGGGUGCUGUGCAUUAUUACAUGGGUGCAAGAGGUGUUGGGAACACUCCCUCAUCACAGAGUGCCAGUGAUGUACAGGCCCUUGACUAUAGUACAUCUCUUUGAGAUGAAUAGCUUUACUUUAUCCUCCACUCCACAAGCAAGCAGCCAAACAAAUAAUAACUGCCUUGUAUUUUCCUCUCCUCCCUCUUUGAACCCUGCCCCAAGAUCCAUCUGCACUGGCAUUGCUAUAAUGUAACAAAACACAUGAAAAUUAUUUUAUCAAGGAAUACACUUAAACCCAAGUAUGAACAGACUAAACUAUUUAAUUUAAGAGGUACAUGCACUGUUUCAGAGAUGAGAUUUGCAGAGCCA